GACGAACGCUGGCGGCGUGCCUAAUACAUGCAAGUAGAACGCACAGUUUAUACCGUAGCUUGCUACACCAUAAACUGUGAGUUGCGAACGGGUGAGUAACGCGUAGGUAACCUGCCUGGUAGCGGGGGAUAACUAUUGGAAACGCUAGCUAAUACCGCAUAAUAUUGAUUAUUGCAUGAUAAUUGAUUGAAAGAUGCUAUUGCAUCACUACCAGAUGGACCUGCGUUGUAUUAGCUAGUAGGUGAGGUAACGGCUCACCUAGGCGGCGAUACAUAGCCGACCGGAGAGGGUGGUCAGCCACACUGGGACGGAGACACGGCCCAGACUCAUACGGGAGGGAGCAGUAGGGAAGCGUCGGCAAUGGACGAAAGUCUGACCGAGCAACGCCGCGGGAGUGAAGAAGGUUGUCGGAUCGUAAAGCUCUGUUGUAAGAGAAGAACGGGUGUGAGAGUGGAAAGUUCACACUGUGACGGUAUCUGACCAGAAAGGGACGGCUAACUACGUG
rnacentral:rRNA from 1 species